ACCAGUGUGGGGUAGUGGUUUGAGUGUUGGACUAGGACUCCGGAAGAGCAGGGUUCAAAUCUCUGCUCAGCUA